rnacentral:rRNA from 1 species
AUUGAACGCUGGCGGCAGGCCUAACACAUGCAAGUCGAACGAGUGGCGGACGGGUGAGUAAUGUGUGGGAAACUGCCCGAUGGAGGGGGAUAACUACUGGAAACGGUAGCUAAUACCGCAUACCAUAGGAUGAGGCCAGAUGGGAUUAGCUAGUGGGUGGGGUAACGGCUAACCUAGGCGACGAUCCCUAGCUGGUCUGAGAGGAUGAACAGCCACACGGGACCUGGUCCACGGUCCAGACCCCUACGGAAGGAACCAGGGGGGAUGAUUGCACAAGGGGGGAAAGCCUGAUGAGGCCAUGCGGGGUGUAUGAAGAAGGCCUUCGGGUUGAAAAGUAUUUUCAGCGAGGAGGCGUUACUCGCAGAAGAAGCACCGGCUAACUCCGUGCCAGCAGCCGCGGUAAUAC